rnacentral:rRNA from 1 species
AUUGAACGCUGGCGGAAUGCUUUACACAUGCAAGUCGAGCGGCAGCGCGGGGCAACCUGGCGGCGAGCGGCGAACGGGUGAGUAAUGCAUCGGAACGUACCCAGUCGUGGGGGAUAACUGUCCGAAAGGACAGCUAAUACCGCAGUACGUCCUGAGGGAGAAAGCGGGGGAGUCGCAAGACCUCGCGCGAUUGGAGCGGCCGAUGCCGGAUUAGCUAGUUGGUAGGGUAAAGGCCUACCAAGGCGACGAUCCGUAGCUGGUCUGAGAGGACGACCAGCCACACUGGAACUGAGACACGGUCCAGACUCCUACGGGA